rnacentral:ribozyme from 1 species
CAGUGUAGAAUAGGAAAUUCUGUGUUUUUUUUUUUUUUUUUUCACUUGUUUCGAUUGGUUUUCUUUUUACUAAUAAAAAAAGGAAUUCUUUUGAUAAUAAUUUUUUCACUUGUUUGGCUUGGACUUGCUUAGAAAGAGGCUAGGCUUGUUUAGAAAUCGUCUACAAUGGAAACGUUAAAAGUUUGUCUUAUUGGUGCUGGCCGCAUGGGUCAAAUCAGAGCAAAGAAUCUGUAUUCCAACCCUCGAGCAAAAAUUGUGUAUGUGGCUGGAGGCGGAGAUGCUGGGAAAGAACUAGCGAAAACGUAUGGUGGGGAGCACGUCUCUUCUUUCUACGAAGUUGACACCUCAUCUAUCAACGCU